rnacentral:rRNA from 1 species
AUGAACGCUAGCGACAGGCUUAACACAUGCAAGUCGAGGGGCAGCGGGGGUAGCGAUACCCGCCGGCGACCGGCGCACGGGUGAGUAACGCGUAUGCAACUUGCCUAUCAGAGGGGGAUAACCCGGCGAAAGUCGGACUAAUACCGCAUGAAGCAGGGGCCCCGCAUGGGGAUAUUUGCUAAAGAUUCAUCGCUGAUAGAUAGGCAUGCGUUCCAUUAGGCAGUUGGCGGGGUAACGGCCCACCAAACCGACGAUGGAUAGGGGUUCUGAGAGGAAGGUCCCCCACAUUGGUACUGAGACACGGACCAAACUCCUACGGGAGGCAGCAGUGAGGAAUAUUGGUCAAUGGGCGUAAGCCUGAACCAGCCAAGUCGCGUGAGGGAUGAAGGUUCUAUGGAUCGUAAACCUCUUUUAUAAGGGAAUAAAGUGCGGGACGUGUCCCGUUUUGUAUGUACCUUAUGAAUAAGGAUCGGCUAACUCCGUGCCAGCAGCCGCGGUAAUACGGAGGAUCCGAGCGUUAUCCGGAUUUAUUGGGUUUAAAGGGUGCGUAGGCGGCCUUUUAAGUCAGCGGUGAAAGUCUGUGGCUCAACCAUAGAAUUGCCGUUGAAACUGGGGGGCUUGAGUAUGUUUGAGGCAGGCGGAAUGCGUGGUGUAGCGGUGAAAUGCAUAGAUAUCACGCAGAACCCCGAUUGCGAAGGCAGCCUGCCAAGCCAUUACUGACGCUGAUGCACGAAAGCGUGGGGAUCAAACAGGAUUAGAUACCCUGGUAGUCCACGCAGUAAACGAUGAUCACUAGCUGUUUGCGAUACACUGUAAGCGGCACAGCGAAAGCGUUAAGUGAUCCACCUGGGGAGUACGCCGGCAACGGUGAAACUCAAAGGAAUUGACGGGGGCCCGCACAAGCGGAGGAACAUGUGGUUUAAUUCGAUGAUACGCGAGGAACCUUACCCGGGUUUGAACGCAUUCGGACCGAGGUGGAAACACCUUUUCUAGCAAUAGCCGUUUGCGAGGUGCUGCAUGGUUGUCGUCAGCUCGUGCCGUGAGGUGUCGGUUUAAGUGCCAUAACGAGCGCAACCCUUGCCACUAGUUACUAACAGGUAAAGCUGAGGACUCUGGUGGGACUGCCAGCGUAAGCUGCGAGGAAGGCGGGGAUGACGUCAAAUCAGCACGGCCCUUACAUCCGGGGCGACACACGUGUUACAAUGGCGUGGACAAAGGGAGGCCACCUGGCGACAGGGAGCGAAUCCCCAAACCACGUCUCAGUUCGGAUCGGAGUCUGCAACCCGACUCCGUGAAGCUGGAUUCGCUAGUAAUCGCGCAUCAGCCAUGGCGCGGUGAAUACGUUCCCGGGCCUUGUACACACCGCCCGUCAAGCCAUGGGAGCCGGGGGUACCUGAAGUCCGUAACCGCGAGGAUCGGCCUAGGGUAAAACUGGUGACUGGGGCU